rnacentral:rRNA from 1 species
UAGUCUCGCACAGAUGCAUAUCAAUAAGCGGAGGAAAAGAAACUAACAAGGAUUCCCCUAGUAACGGCGAGUGAAGCGGGAAGAGCUCAAAUUUGAAAUCUUAAAGGGUUUCCCUUUACGAAUUGUAGUUUAAAGAAGUGUUUUCUGUUGAGGUUUUGGUAAAAGUUCUUUGGAAUAGGACAUCAUAGAGGGUGAGAAUCCCGUAUUUGACCUUUACUUUCAACUUUGUGAUACACUUUCAAAGAGUCGGAUUGUUUGGGAAUGCAGUCCAAAAUGGGUGGUAAAUUUCAUCUAAAGCUAAAUAUUGGCGAGAGACCGAUAGCGAACAAGUACCGUGAGGGAAAGAUGAAGAGAACUUUGAAAAGAGAGUUAAACAGUACGUGAAAUUGUCAAAAGGGAAGCGUUUGACACCAGUGUUGUUUUUCUGAAAAUCAAUUAAAGAACUGUUUAUGCUAAGUUGUUUAGACUUUAUCAGCUAUCUGUUUAGUUUUGAGCUUUUCUUUAAUGCACUUUUCAGUUAAACGAGUCAACAUCAAUUUCUUUUGCUGUAAAAAAGCUUGAGGAAGGUGGCUUGAGAUUCGUCUUAAGUGUUUAUAGCCUCUUGCCUAUGCAGUCGGAGAGAUUGAGGUCUGCAGCGUAGAUCCUUCGGGGCUAUAAUGCAUUUGUGCUAAGUUAUAGCAUUUUAUAGACAACUUGUCGACUAUGAUUUGUCUUGUAGCUUACUCGCUUAUGUUAUUUUACCUACGCUUAGGAUGUUGACGCAUGAGAUAUACGC